GACGAACGCUGGCGGCGUGCUUAACACAUGCAAGUCGAACGGAAAGGCCCUGCUUUUGUGGGGUGCUCGAGUGGCGAACGGGUGAGUAACACGUGAGUAACCUGCCCUUGACUUUGGGAUAACUUCAAGAAACUGGGGCUAAUACCGGAUAGGAGCUCCUGCUGCAUGGUGGGGGUUGGAAAGUUUCGGCGGUUGGGGAUGGACCCGCGGCUUAUCAGCUUGUUGGUGGGGUAGUGGCUUACCAAGGCUUUGACGGGUAGCCGGCCUGAGAGGGUGACCGGCCACAUUGGGACUGAGAUACGGCCCAGACUCCUACGGGAGGCAGCAGUGGGGAAUAUUGCACAAUGGGCGGAAGCCUGAUGCAGCAACGCCGCGUGCGGGAUGACGGCCUUCGGGUUGUAAACCGCUUUCGCCUGUGACGAAGCGUGAGUGACGGUAAUGGGUAAAGAAGCACCGGCUAACUACGUG
rnacentral:rRNA from 1 species